rnacentral:misc_RNA from 1 species
GUGGGCGAGUGUUUGGGAAGGUGGAAGGGUGAUGGAGGGGCGGGCGGCAUCGAGGGACGGGCUGGAGCAUCAGGCGGCCCUCUAGAGCAGCAGGUACAGUUCGUCAGGCGCCCGUGCACACCCACAGCUGCCCGCCACGCCGCUCUUAAGUACUCCUGUAGGACGUGGUACAGGGCAGCCUAGGGAGAAGUGGUGUGUGGUGGUGGCAGACCGCGGUGGAGGCGGUGGAGUGGUGGUGGCGGCGUGUUCCGUGUGCAGCCGCCAGACAGCAGCAGCAGCAGCAGCAGCAGACAGCGAGCGCCGCCUGCCGUCCUAAUGAGGUGUACGUCUUGUGUUAGUGUUGUGAGUGCCGGAGUGAGAGCAACACACCACCGUGCUUCAAAGUGACGCCUUCCCCGCACCGUCACCGCCAUCUACAGGAAUAAGUCACUCCGCCUACCAUCGACCCCUGAACACUGCCACCUGGGGGCUGGGGAAGCUGUCAUCACCCGGCACACCAGUUUUUGAGUGUACUGGGCCGCGUACUGGGAGUGUGCUAGGUGUUCCUCUAUCCCGCGCACCCUCACACACACCCACGCCGCUGGACCGACGCCCCCAUGUGACCAGACUGAGGGCCGUGGCGAGUGAGGGGCUUCCUGUACCAGCAAUAAGAGACUGGGGGAGAUUUGGAUGUGCGGAAGCUGAAGACCAGGCCACACGGGUAGAUGAGUGAAGGAUAGUGGGAGCUGCCCAGGGACGGUGUAGCUGGGGUGCCGCGCGCCCGGUGACGGGGUGAGGAGCGCAGCGCCGGCACCAUGGCCACCAUCGACGGACGCCCGGCGCAGUAUGGCAUCACGCUACGCCAACUGCGCGAGCUGAUGGAGUCGCGCGGGGUUGAGGGAGUAGAGCGCAUCCAACGGGAGUAUGGCGGCACAUUGGAGAUCACCAAGAAGCUUUACUCCUCCCCAACCAAUGGGUUGAGUGGGAAUGCCAGUGACAUGGAGCAUCGGAGACAGACUUUCGGCUCCAAUGUCAUCCCUCCUAAGCCCCCGAAGACGUUCCUGACGUUGGUAUGGGAGGCACUGCAGGACGUGACGCUCAUCAUCCUGCAAGUGGCUGCCGUGGUGUCCCUGGGCCUCUCCUUCUACAGACCACCAGAGGAAACCAUAGUAGGAGCAGCAGCAGAAAAGGGAAUUGCUGACGAAGUGGGCCAUCACGAUGAGGGUGAGGAGGAAGCUGGAUGGAUCGAGGGUGUGGCCAUCCUUAUUUCUGUGGCAGUUGUUGUUUUUGUCACAGCCUUUAAUGACUACACAAAAGAGAAACAGUUUCGGGGACUACAAAGCCGUAUCGAGGGCGAGCACAAAUUUUCGGUUAUUCGAGGAGGUGAAGUUCAGCAGAUAGGCGUUGGGGAUAUUGUCGUCGGUGAUAUUUGCCAAAUCAAGUAUGGUGACUUGUUACCGACUGAUGGCAUUUUGUUACAAAGUAAUGAUUUGAAGAUCGACGAGUCCUCACUAACAGGAGAAUCAGACCAUGUAAAGAAAGGUGUUGACCUUGAUCCUAUGGUGCUCUCAGGGACACAUGUAAUGGAGGGGAGUGGCAAAAUGAUUGUUACUGCUGUUGGUGUAAAUUCGCAGGCAGGUAUCAUCUUCACCCUGCUUGGCGCCGCUGCGGAUGAAGAGCAAGUAGAGGCCCGGAAGAGGAAGAAAGAGGCCAAAAAGCAGCGGAAAAUAAAGAAGAAGGGCGGUUCGGGCGAAGAGUUGAUUGACGUCAAUCCUAAUAAGCAAGACGGCGGAGAGGCUGGCUCUGUGACGGGUAACUCUCACCACAUAACAGCCAACUCCACCAGUGCCGACGGAGACGUCAGAAAUAACAAGCACCCUAAAGAAGAGGAGGAAGAAGAGUCACAAAGAGCAGGUGGAAAGAGCCAGGAAAAAUCUGUUCUACAAGCCAAGCUUACAAAGCUUGCUAUCCAGAUUGGCUAUGCUGGUUCUUUCAUUGCUGUGCUAACCGUUGUGAUUUUGAUUGUCCGUUUCUGCGUACAAACAUUUGUUAUGGACGGCAAGCCAUGGUCUCCAUUUUAUGCCAAUCAUUUUGUUAAGUUCUUCAUCAUCGGUGUUACUGUGUUGGUGGUGGCCGUGCCAGAGGGUCUGCCCCUUGCUGUCACUCUCUCACUGGCUUACUCUGUGAAGAAAAUGAUGAAAGACAAUAACUUGGUGAGGCACCUGGAUGCCUGUGAGACCAUGGGGAAUGCAACAGCCAUCUGCUCCGAUAAGACUGGAACUCUCACCACUAACCGCAUGACUGUAGUUCAGGCAUACAUUUGUAGCGAGGACUACAAGACCAUGCCAAAGUGUGAAUCCCUCCCACACAAUGUUGCUGAUCUGCUGCUGCAUGCAAUCAGUGUCAACUCUGCCUACACAUCUCGAGUGCUGCCCGGGGAUAAUCCAGGGGACUUGCCGAAGCAGGUUGGUAACAAAACAGAAUGUGCUUUGUUAGGAUUUGUGUUGGACCUUGGGAAGAGUUAUCAGGCAAUCCGUGAUGAAAUAACAGAAGAAAACUUUCAUCGUGUGUACACAUUCAACUCUGCCAGAAAAUCCAUGUCAACGGUGAUUCCUCGCGAUGGAGGAUACCGUAUUUUCACUAAAGGUGCCUCAGAAAUUGUUAUGAAAAAGUGCUCCUUUAUCCAUGGUAAGGAUGGUAAACUAGAAAGCUUCUCAAAAUCAAUGCAAGACCGCCUUGUUCGAGAAGUGAUUGAACCGAUGGCGUGUAAUGGUCUACGCACAAUCUCAAUUGCAUACAGAGACUUUGUACGAGGAAAAGCUGAAAUCAACCAGGUACACUUUGAAAAUGAGCCUCACUGGGAUGAUGAAGACCACAUAAUUAACAACCUGACCUGUCUCUGUGUGCUGGGGAUUGAAGACCCAGUGAGACCUGAAGUACCUGAUGCAAUCCACAGGUGCCAGCGAGCAGGCAUCACCGUGCGCAUGGUGACUGGCGACAAUAUCAACACUGCGCGUUCCAUUGCCUCCAAGUGUGGCAUCCUCAAGCCUGGUGACAACAGCCUUAUUUUAGAAGGAAAAGAAUUCAACAGACGAGUCAGAGAUUCUACAGGAAAAGUCCAGCAACACUUGGUGGACAAAGUUUGGGUGAACCUGCGUGUAUUGGCACGCUCCUCACCCACUGACAAGUACACACUGGUGAAGGGAAUCAUUGAGAGCAAAGUGAGUGCUAACCGAGAGGUAGUGGCAGUGACUGGUGAUGGCACCAAUGACGGCCCUGCACUGAAAAUGGCUGAUGUUGGCUUUGCUAUGGGCAUUGCUGGAACAGAUGUGGCCAAGGAAGCUUCAGACAUCAUCCUGACAGACGACAACUUCACCUCCAUUGUAAAAGCCGUCAUGUGGGGACGUAAUGUGUAUGACUCCAUUGCAAAGUUUCUACAGUUUCAGCUGACAGUUAAUGUUGUUGCUGUUAUUGUAGCAUUUGUUGGUGCAUGUGCCAUCAACGAUAGCCCUCUCAAGGCUGUACAAAUGUUGUGGGUGAACCUCAUCAUGGAUACUCUGGCCUCCUUGGCCCUGGCGACUGAGGCCCCAACCCCCGACCUGCUGCAGAGGAAGCCGUACGGCCGCACCAAGCCUCUCAUAUCUCGCACCAUGAUGAAGAACAUCUUGGGGCAAGCAGUUUACAUGAUUUCGAUCAUAUUCGUUUUGUUAUUUUAUGGUGAUAAAAUGUUAGACAUAGACUCUGGGCGAUAUGCAGACAUCCGUGACCCUCCCUCUCAGCACUUUACUAUCAUCUUCAACACCUUCGUCAUGAUGACUCUCUUCAACGAAAUCAAUGCACGGAAAAUUCACGGACAGCGGAAUGUUUUCCAGGGCUUUUUUAGCAAUCCCAUUUUCUACAGCAUUUGGCUGAGUACAUUAGCAGCUCAGGUUGUGAUAGUCCAGUUUGGAGGGCGGGCAUUUUCUACUGAGGCACUCACUCUUGAACUUUGGCUCUGGUGUAUCCUGUUUGGGAGUGGAGUCCUCCUGUGGGGACAGUUGGUCACUUCCAUGCCAACCAAAAAGCUCCCCAAAAAUCUGUUCUCGUGGGGUUCUGGGGAGCCUCAGACGGACCCCAUUGCUGAUCUCACCACUGAGGACAAGCUGGAUUCAGAUGGCAAGGAUAGCAAGCGCACGGGUCAAAUUUUGUGGAUCCGUGGCUUGACCCGGCUCCAGACUCAGUCUGUACAAGCUACACCAAACCUAAUGGGACCUAGGCCAGCCAGUGCUGAGUAAGGCAGUUCUGUGGAGUUUGCCGCUACCCGAAAGGAAAUAUUUUUAUGGCAUUUGGCAGCAGUGACCAAUGCAAUUAUCGAAGGGUUGGGAAAUUCGCGCUGGCCCACUCAACUCUGCCUCAAGCCACUAGCCUCACUCCUUAUCGUUCCUAUUGACCCUUAAAGGAAUUAAGAGAGGCGUGUCCGGCAGCAUGAUGUCGGUUUCCGCAAGACUUGGCACUCCCCAGUGCAUGAAGACCAGCCUAGAUUCGAGUAGUUAAUGCGUUCCGACAGGGGCUCGAUGCUCGGCCUUCCAACCCUAAUCUGGCGGCGGUGCUGAAGAAGCAGUCAUCCCUGAAUAAGAGGCUGUCUCAGGGGUCCUCGUUGGAGUAUGCUGACCUGUGUCCGGACCCUGAAGAACUCACAGUGCCCGAGAUCGACG